AGAAAGUUAGUCUAACCAAGACAGUUGGUUUCGACCCAGCAAAUUAUAGAUAAUGCCUAUAACUUUCUC
rnacentral:tRNA from 1 species